rnacentral:rRNA from 1 species
UGAGUACGAGACGCUAAGGCGUUGAAGCAGUCUAUGUCAGACUUCCAAGAAAAGCUUGCACUGUCAUAAACAAAGAAUGCCUGUACCAUAACCGACACAGGUGGGUAGGUAGAGUAUACUAAGGGGCGCGAGAUAACUCUCUCUAAGGAACCCGGCAAAAUGACUCCGUAACUUCGGGAGAAGGAGUGCCUUAUUUUUAUAAGGUUGCAAUAACAAGAUCCAAGCAACUGUUUACCAAAAACACAGGUCUCCGCUAAGUCGUAAGACGAUGUAUGGGGGCUGACGCCUGCCCAGUGCCAGAAGGUUAAAGAAGUUGGUUAGUUUCGGCGAAGCUGAUGACUGAAGCCCUGGUGAACGGCGGCCGUAACUAUAACGGUCCUAAGGUAGCGAAAUUCCUUGUCGGGUAAGUUCCGACCCGCACGAAAGGCGUAAUGAUUUGGAUACUGUCUCGGAGAGGGGCUCGGUGAAAUAGACUUGUCUGUGAAGAUGCGGACUACCUGCACCUGGACAGAAAGACCCUAUGAAGCUUUACUGUAACUUGAGAUUGAAAUUGGACUUUAUUUGCGCAGUAUAGGUGGGAGACGUUGAGAAUAUUCUUGCGGGAAUAUUGGAGUCAUCAGUGAGAUACCACUCUUGUAAUGUUAGAUUUCUAACUUUGUAUCAUUAUCUGGUCAAAGGACAGUUUCAGGCGGGCAGUUUGACUGGGGCGGUCGCCUCCCAAACGGUAACGGAGGCGCACAAAGGUUUCCUCUGAACGUGUAGAAAUCGUAUCUAGAGUGUAAAGGCAUAAGGAAGCUUGACUGUGAGACCUACAAGUCGAGCAGGGACGAAAGUCGGUCUUAGUGAUCUGACGGUGCUGAGUGGAAAGGCCGUCACUCAACGGAUAAAAGUUACUCUAAGGAUAACAGGCUGAUCUCCCCCAAGAGUUCACAUCGACGGGGAGGUUUGGCACCUCGAUGUCGGCUCAUCGCAUCCUGGGGCGGUAGUACGUCCCAAGGGUUGGGCUGUUCGCCCAUGAAAGCGGUACGCGAGCUGGGUUCAGAACGUCGUGAGACAGUUCGGUCCAUAUCCGGUGUAGGCGUUAGAAUAUUGAGAGGAGCCUUCUUUAGUACGAGAGGACCGAGAAGGACAUACCUCUGGUGUACCAGUUAUCGUGCCAACGGUAAACGCUGGGUAGCUAUGUAUGGAGUGGAUAACCGCUGAAAGCAUCUAAGUGGGAAGCCCACCUCAAGAUAAGUAUUCCC